AAAUAAUAAUAAUAAAAUAAAAAAAAAACCUGAAGCUAACCCUGGCUAACCCAAAGCUAAAGCGGAGGUGGGAGCCGAGCUAACGGAUGUAGCCACCUAGCUUCAACCCAACCGGAGCUAACUGGAACACCCAUCGACCUGAACCUCACACGGAGUUUAGGUGGAGGUUUUCUGCGCCUGUUCGUGAGAAGUACCUGUAUUAAAAAAGAUUUAAAUCGAUCUGUUUAAAUGUCACCAUGGCAGCCUGUGUGUCUCCAACAUCAGCUACACAAAGCAGCUAGUCCAUUUGGAUCAUUGGAGACAGCUAUGUGAGGCGUGGUGCCCAGAGAGCUGCAGAGACAACCUUGGCCUCCCUGACGUCUGUGUCUCCUGGUUCGGUUGGGGCGGACCAUCGACAUACAUACAUGUGCCGACACUUUGCGCCCUGUUUUAUAAAAUUUAGUGUUAAAAAUAAAUGUUUUUGCUCAA